rnacentral:rRNA from 1 species
UGGGGAAUAUUGCGCAAUGGGCGAAAGCCUGACGCAGCGACGCCGCGUGAGGGAUGAAGGUUUUCGGAUCGUAAACCUCUGUCAGAAGGGAAGAAACCGCACUGUGCUAAUCAGCAGUGCCUUGACGGUACCUUCAAAGGAAGCACCGGCUAACUCCGUGCCAGCAGCCGCGGUAAUACGGAGGGUGCAAGCGUUAAUCGGAAUUACUGGGCGUAAGGCGCACGUAGGCUGCUUUGUAAGUCAGGGGUGAAAUCCCACGGCUCAACCGUGGAACUGCCUUUGAUACUGCUUAGCUUGAAUCCGGGAGAGGGUGGCGGAAUUCCAGGUGUAGGAGUGAAAUCCGUAGAUAUCUGGAGGAACAUCAGUGGCGAAGGCGGCCACCUGGACCGGUAUUGACGCUGAGGUGCGAAAGCGUGGGGAGCAAACAGG